UACGCAGGGUGCGAGCGUUAAUCGGAAUUACUGGGCGUAAAGCGUGCGCAGGCGGUUCGCCAAGUCAGGUGUGAAAUCCCCGGGCUUAACCUGGGAAUUGCGCUUGAAACUAGCGGGCUUGAGUGUGGCAGAGGGGGGUGGAAUUCCACGUGUAGCGGUGAAAUGCGUAGAGAUGUGGAGGAACACCAAUGGCGAAGGCAGCCUUCUGGGCCGACACUGACGCUCAUGCACGAAAGCGUGGGGAGCAAACAGG
rnacentral:rRNA from 1 species